rnacentral:tRNA from 1 species
GGCCUGGGGCUCAGUGGUAGAGUGCAUGCCUCACAUGUGUGAUGCACUGGGUUCAAUUCUCAGCAUCA